AUUGAUUGUGCUUUGGCAACUAGAUGCAGUGCUAGGCUUCACUCUGAAAGGUGUUUAAAAAGAAAAACAGGUUUACCCGGGAUUUAUCAUGUAUGGAAAAAUGUAAUAGCUAAGUAGGCUGUCUGCUAAUGUCUGGCAUAAUGUUUCUUCAUAAUGGUUAACCCUUUUGCAGGGAGUGGAAUAAGAGUGCCUCUCUCUCUAGAUGGGAACUUUGCUCCAUGGGACAUUACAAUCUUAUCACUGGAUCUUGGCAGUGUGAGGCCAUAUCAUUUCAAGCCGUGAGCAACAGAGGGAAUGACCUGGCUGAUCUUGUAAUUUGUCCCAAACUACUACAAUAGCUAGAAAUUUUUACUCAAAACUGUAUGCCUUAAGGCAGAAAAACGCAUAAAGGUAUCUGGAAAAGUAAAUUGCCAGAAGCGAAGAGCACCCUCGCUUUCAAAAUCCUGUGGAUGGGGCAUUUCUGUAAGAAAUUAGCAGUGUCGAGACACAGGCUCGAAAGAGAGCCGCGUAUGGCGCUAGUCGCUGCUUCCUCGGGCAGAAAUCUCGCUGGAGCCCAGCACGGCAGUCUCGAGCACGCAGUUCGCUUUCAGACAGACACAGCUUUCGCCUCCUCUCCCAUCUCUCCUCUAUUUUCCCCCUCUCCUCUCUCUUUCUGCUCCUCGUAGAGCAGCGCUUUAAUAAAGUCACAUAAGUGAUUGAAAUUAACAUAAAUCAUUAUUAGUUAUUAGGAUUUGCUCUAAAUUACUCCGUGAAUAUAACACCAAACCCCAUCUGCCACUCCUGCUCUAGCGGCAAUAGAUUGCAGAUAAAAUAAAUGUCCUUACCCCAUUAGAAUGUUCCUGUCUCUGUAGCCAAAAGCCAAACAAAAGCAAUAAAUACCGAGCUUUUUUCUCUCCACUAUUCAGCUGUGACUGUUUUCAUCAGCUCUGCCUCUAGAAAAGCUCGAUAGCUGCCUGAAAAUAUUGCAUUUUAUAUCACCAAAGGGCGAUUAAUAUUGCAUUAACUGUAUUUAACAUUUUUUAAGCGCGAGUAAUCUGAAAUGAGUAAGUUUCUGUUACUAAAUACAGGGGAUGUCAGAGCUGGUGAAAACAGCUUAAAAUAUCUGUAUAAACAGAUUAUUUGUUUCGUACUUUGUAUUUUUAUAAUGUUAUGGUAUAGUGUGCUCUGUUUGAAGUAGAAGAAGCCAUGCUAAUGGUCUGUUUAAAGUAUUCUGACACUGUCUGGAGACAUCCAAGUCU
rnacentral:lncRNA from 1 species